rnacentral:rRNA from 1 species
UACGUAGGGGGCAAGCGUUGUCCGGAUUUACUGGGCGUAAAGAGCGCGUAGGCGGAAAUUUAAGCGUGGCCUGAAAGCCCCCGGCUCAACCGGGGAGUGCGGCUGCGAACUGGAUUUCUUGAGGACGAUAGAGGAGAGUGGAAUUCCUGGUGUAGCGGUGAAAUGCGUAGAUAUCGGGAGGAACACCAAUGGCGAAGGCAGCUCGCUGGGACGUGACUGACGCUGAGACGCGAAAGCGUGGGGAGCGAACAGG